GGUCUCUGUGUUACCUGAUUUCAGCAUCCAUCUGAAUUUGGGUGUCAAAAGAGACACACAUUAAUUUCCAAUUAUUCCACGAACAUUUAUACAUUUCUAAUUGUUUUAUGUUUACUAAUGAUUGGGAACAUUG